rnacentral:tRNA from 1 species
UCCUCAGUAGCUCAGUGGUAGAGCGGUCGACUGUUAACCGAUUGGUCGUAGGUUCAAAUCCUACUUGGGGAG